rnacentral:rRNA from 1 species
UCGGUGGAUGCCUUGGCGACAAGAGGCGAUGAAGGACGUGAUACGCUGCGAUAAGCCAUGGGGAGCUGCGAAUAAGCUUUGAUCCGUGGAUUUCCGAAUGGGGAAACCCACUCCGUAUGGAGUACCCGCAAGGGAGCAAACCCGGGGAACUGAAACAUCUAAGUACCCGGAGGAAAGGACAUCAACCGAGACUCCGCUAGUAGUGGCGAGCGAACGCGGACCAGGCCAGUGGUGUUGGCAAGACAAGUGGAACCGUCUGGAAAGUCGGGCAAUAUGGGUGACAGCCCCGUACACGUAAUGCGAACCAACAUCCUCGAGUAAGGCGGGACACGUGAAAUCCUGUCUGAAGAUCGGAGGACCACCUUCGAAGGCUAAGUACUCCUGACUGACCGAUAGUGAACCAGUACCGUGAGGGAAAGGCGAAAAGAACCCCUGUGAGGGGAGUGAAAUAGAUCCUGAAACCGUGUACGUACAAGCAGUGGGAGCCCCUUCGUGGGGUGACUGCGUACCUUUUGUAUAAUGGGUCAGCGACUUACAU